rnacentral:snRNA from 1 species
AUCGCUUCUCGGCCUUUUGGCUAAGAUCAAGUGUAAAAAUUGAUUCUAUUUUCUCUUGGUAACACUGGUAAUGUUACCAAUUUGAGAUAUUGAGUAACUCAUUUAAUCUUCACAACAA